UCUGCAAAAGGGUGAAAGUACGUUGAGGGGGUGUUAAAUCUGGGGGUAGGAAAGGGCCAGGAAGGAUUACGGCGUCCCUGUUUGAUGUGUAGGGUUUUGUGAGACUCUGGAGAAGUCUAACGGGCUGCAGGUUUCAGUUUGGGACAGCGCUGCCACUGCAUGUGUCUGCUGCAGGUUUGUGGGCAUACAAAGACUUUCAGGAAUGCGGCUCUGCUGUCAACUAACUUUCUUACAGCUAUGAAAAAUACAUCCUCAUGUUGUAGACCAGAAAAGGAGUGUGAUACUGUAGGAAAUGUUCCUUUGCUGAAAACUGAGUAAAAGGGCUAAGCUUUUGGAAAAGGAGGUUUCAGACCUCCUAAGGUCAAACCUGGAGUCCUGACCCAUACCUCGGAGCAGCAGCAAGAACCGUCCAAGGAAGUGCAAAGACACAAAGAUGUUUAAAAACAACAACAAAAGGGAACGGCAGCACUCUGAAACACCGAGCAAGUUUGGAGUAGCGCUGAAGCUGGCAGCGGCCUCAUCUGGCUCGUGUUUUGCACUCCGGAGGGAGAGGCCUGCCACUCUUAACCCUUCCGGAGGGCGUAAAGGCAGGUGUGAAAACUGUGAAGAAGCAGUUUUUUGUCAGACGCUUCUUCCUUGCUCCCUCCAGCCUCACUCGCCAACAGCUGCACUUCUACAAGCACUGUGGUAAAAGUAUUCAUUUGCUCUGUGGUUUUGAACCGUCAGUUCUCACAGAGCUGACCAGUGCGUUAGGAGCACUGGGAAACUGAGUGUAAUCUUUGUUUUCUGUAAUAUGAGAUGUUUGUGUGUUAUCUCUAACAACUUACCUCGUGUGCUGAGUGGUAUCAGUUUUAAAAAAUUGAAAGAAUUAACUGCAGAAACUCCUUUCCCUGUAAAGCACUGAAACACAGGCUUAUAGCCAGCAGCAGCUUACAGUCAGUGCACGUAUGUAGUAGCGCAUGUCUGCUGCAUGACCUGGCUGCACAGUUGUCAUUUGUAGCCUUUGAUGACUCAUUAAGUCAUUUUUAGCUCUGUUGGGUUACUUCUGUCACAGAUUGAUUGUUAAUAGUAUGCAAAACCAGAGGCAGAACAUGUUAGGGGAUUCUUCUUUUACAGGUAAAGCAGCAGAGUAGGUGCUGAUUAGGUGCAGUCAUCUGCUUUCAUCUUUCUGGCAAAGGAAGUAGUCUUGCCAAAUACCAUCGUCCUGCUAAGAUUCAUCAAUACACUACUGGAGAGGAGGCCUUCCAAUCAUCCGUGGAAUUUAAUUUUUACCCUCUGUGUAAUUAAAUUGCUACUCUGAAGAUUUGUGCUAAGCAUAGGGGAAUAAUUUAGACACACAAAGUAAUAAAGCUUCCAGAUGGUAAAUUCAUGAGUCUGUUUUCGGGUGGUAUCAUUAAUUAUUCUAGUUGUGUUUUGUUUUUGUUUUUUUUUGUCUACACUCGAGCUGUCAUCAUCUACAACAGUGACCAAAACCUGAGCCACAGUCUAGAUACUUGUUCCUUGGCUUUCUUGGUUGAAUUUUGCAGCGGGACAAAAGGUACAGGAAUCACGUUGAAACUCUCUUUUUCACUGAAAAAGAGUUUUGGCUGUUGUAUCUUAGAUGAGCUAGGUUGACAGUGCUCCUGGACAUCAUGUAAAUAGCUUUCUUUCUUUCUCCAUUCCUUGAAUGUGAUUUUGGUCUUCUGCUUGUCCAAAUCAAGAAAUCAUUGUCAAGUAAAAAGAAUAAAUGACUGUGAAAGACAUAGGCUGCAAAAAUCUGUUUACUUCUACUCAGCUUAGAAAUUAUUACUAUGCUAUGACUUUGUGUGUUUUGUCAGGAUCUAACUUUCUGAUAGCCUGAUUUUCUGAUACCUUUAGUAAUAGCCAGAUUCCAGCAGCAACACUGUAGUCAUAAGAAUAAAUGAACUUAAAAUUUAUCUUCACAUUCUGUUUUUUUAUGAAAUGGACUGAAAUUGUGCUAUAGGUAUUUUGUGCUACUGGUUUCUCUAUAUGUCUUAUAGUACGUGAUUUGCGAGAAUUCAUCUUAAAAAUCAGGAAGUGCAGUGUCUGUAAAUCUGUAAUCGACAAGGAGUGUUUAUUUCAGUUUAUGUAAAAUUUAUAUGUGAGUGUGAAUAAA